CCUACGGGGGGCUGCAGUGGGGAAUAUUGGACAAUGGGGGCAACCCUGAUCCAGCCAUGCCGCGUGUGUGAAGAAGGCCCUCGGGUUGUAAAGCACUUUCAGUGAGGAAGAACGCCUGGUGGUUAAUACCCAUCAGGAAAGACAUCACUCACAGAAGAAGCACCGGCUAACUCCGUGCCAGCAGCCGCGGUAAUACGGAGGGUGCGAGCGUUAAUCGGAAUUACUGGGCGUAAAGCGCGCGUAGGUGGCUUGAUAAGCCGGUUGUGAAAGCCCCGGGCUCAACCUGGGAACGACAUCCGGAACUGGCAAGCUAGGGUGCAGGAGAGGCAGAUAGAAUUCCCGGUGUAGCGGUGAAAUGCGUAGAGAUCGGGAGGAAUACCAGUGGCGAAGGCGGCCUUCUGGACUGACACUGACACUGAGGUGCGAAAGCGUGGGUAGCAAACAGGAGUAGAUACCCCGGUAGUC
rnacentral:rRNA from 1 species